AAAAAAAAUGACUUGGGGAGGCCCUUUUAUGAUCCACACUACCUCUUACAAAAUAGACCUACUCCAACGUCCAUCUAGCUCUUGUGAAGUAUGAAUUUCUACA